ACAGGAUUAGAUACCCUGGUAGUCCAUGCCGUAAACGUUGGGCACUAGGUGUGGGGCUCAUUCCACGAGUUCCGUGCCGCAGCUAACGCAUUAAGUGCCCCGCCUGGGGAGUACGGCCGCAAGGCUAAAACUCAAAGGAAUUGACGGGGGCCCGCACAAGCGGCGGAGCAUGCGGAUUAAUUCGAUGCAACGCGAAGAACCUUACCAAGGCUUGACAUACACCGGAAACACUCAGAGAUGGGUGCCCCGUAAGGUCGGUGUACAGGUGGUGCAUGGUUGUCGUCAGCUCGUGUCGUGAGAUGUUGGGUUAAGUCCCGCAACGAGCGCAACCCUCAUCCUAUGUUGCCAGCGGGUUAUGCCGGGGACUCAUGGGAGACUGCCGGGGUCAACUCGGAGGAAGGUGGGGAUGACGUCAAAUCAUCAUGCCCCUUAUGUCUUGGGCUUCACGCAUGCUACAAUGGCCGGUACAGAGGGCUGCGAUACCGUAAGGUGGAGCGAAUCCCAAAAAGCCGGUCUCAGUUCGGAUUGGGGUCUGCAACUCGACCCCAUGAAGUCGGAGUCGCUAGUAAUCGCAGAUCAGCAACGCUGCGGUGAAUACGUUCCCGGGCCUUGUACACACCGCCCGUCAAGUCACGAAAGUUGGUAACACCCGAAGCUCAUGGCCCAACCCUUGUGGGGGGAAUGGUCGAAGGUGGGACUGGCGAUUGGGACUAAGUCGUAACAAGGUAACCAAGGGC
rnacentral:rRNA from 1 species